ensembl:lncRNA
CUAAUGGCAAAGAGUGAAGAUAACGAGGACUUUUUGGGUGACCUACGCCACCUCAAGACUUAUCUGAAGCAUCCAAGUGUGGAGAUGCGCACGGUGGUGCUCAGAGGGCUUGUCAUACUCUCCGAGACACGGGAGAAGGCAAGAAAAAUGGAGGUCGUGCUGCCAGAGAUCAUGGCCACCCUGCAGGCUGCCAGCGCAGACGUCAAGAUGAAGGCCCUGUUUGUCAUCCAAAACAUCAUGGGCCACGUGAAGAGGAAGGAGGCCAGCUCCAUCGCUGUGCAGCACGCUGAGGAGCUCCUGCCUCUCUUUGUCGAUGUAAGUGAGGCUGCU